rnacentral:snRNA from 8 species
AUCGCUUCUCGGCCUUUUGGCUCAGAUCAAGUGUAGUAUCUGUUCUUAUCAGUUUAAUAUCUGAUACGUCCCCCAUCGGGGGACUACAUAUUAGAUGGAUUUUUCGAACAGGGAGUCGGAAAUGGGGCUUGCUCCGUCCGCUCCACGCAUCGACCCGGUAUUGCAGUACCUCCGGGAAUGGUGCAACACUU